UGGCUCCAGCAUCCUGCUUCGCCUUCCUACUCUUCUCCAGCUUUGGUCAGUAGCUGGUGUCCUGGAAAACGACCUCUCUUCACAACGCGAUGAUGCUGAAGGAUCACUUUGCUCUUACCUACUCUAUAAACAUUCAUUGUUGAGAGGGCUGGAAAUGGAAGUGGCUGGAGACCCUGGAAUUCAAGACCAACACAAAUGCAUGAAGUCUGUGGUCUGCAGAAAGUUCUCGGGUUGGGAUGAUGAAAUCAAGGGGCAGUGGUUUCCAGGGGUGGCCCCUGGACCAACAGCAUCAGCAUCACCUGGGAAACUCUUAGAAAUGAAAAUGCUUGUGUCCCAACCCAAACCUACUGAAGCAGAGACUCUGGACAUGCGGCCCAGCACCUUGCCUGGACAGCCUACAGGAGAUCCUGGUGUGGCUCACGUGGGAGAGCAUUGGACUAGAUGAUCCCACCUGCUCAGUUGUCAUUCGCUGGCCUUUCAUCAUGUGGUUCUUUGCUCUUAUCCCUGAAUUUGCGUGCACUAUUCACAUGCAUUGUACUGAUCACAAAUAUGUUCUCUUGGCUUCAAGAAGUUAUUAGAGCAUUUCUGAAAUGGAAAUGUUUUUCUCACAUAAAAAUUGAAUUAGGUGGCACACUUUUUUCUGGGGAUACUAUGUAUCUUGGAAAACAACAAUUUUUAAGUAAGGACAUUCCUGGUCACAAAGACAACUGCUACUCUCUACAGUUUUAUCACAAAUCUUAAUAGAGUUUUGUUUUACUUGCCAAAUUAUUUCAGUAUGAAAAAUGAUCCUACAAUUAAACGUUAAACAGUGAUGUA